GACGAACGCUGGCGGCGUGCCUAAUACAUGCAAGUCGAGCGGACUAAUGGGAGCUUGCUCCCGUUAGUUAGCGGCGGACGGGUGAGUAACACGUGGGCAACCUACCUGUAAGACUGGGAUAACUUCGGGAAACCGGAGCUAAUACCGGAUGACAUAAAGGAACUCCUGUUCCUUUAUUGAAAGAUGGCUUCGGCUAUCACUUACAGAUGGGCCCGCGGCGCAUUAGCUAGUUGGUGAGGUAACGGCUCACCAAGGCGACGAUGCGUAGCCGACCUGAGAGGGUGAUCGGCCACACUGGGACUGAGACACGGCCCAGACUCCUACGGGAGGUAGCAGUAGGGAAUCUUCCGCAAUGGACGAAAGUCUGACGGAGCAACGCCGCGUGAGCGAUGAAGGCCUUCGGGUCGUAAAGCUCUGUUGUUAGGGAAGAAUAAGUGCUAGUUGAAUAAGCUGGCACCUUGACGGUACCUAACCAGAAAGCCACGGCUAACUACGUGCCAGCCGCCGCGGUAA
rnacentral:rRNA from 1 species